rnacentral:rRNA from 1 species
CCUACGGGAGGCAGCAGUGGGGAAUUUUGGACAAUGGGCGCAAGCCUGAUCCAGCAAUGCCGCGUGAGUGAAGAAGGCCUUCGGGUUGUAAAGCUCUUUUGUCAGGGAAGAAACGGUGGUUCCUAAUACGGACUACUAAUGACGGUACCUGAAGAAUAAGCACCGGCUAACUACGUGCCAGCAGCCGCGGUAAUACGUAGGGUGCAAGCGUUAAUCGGAAUUACUGGGCGUAAAGCGUGCGCAGGCGGUUAUAUAAGUCAGAUGUGAAAUCCCCGGGCUCAACCUGGGAACUGCAUUUGAGACUGUAUGGCUAGAGUGUGUCAGAGGGGGGUAGAAUUCCACGUGUAGCAGUGAAAUGCGUAGAUAUGUGGAGGAAUACCGAUGGCGAAGGCAGCCCCCUGGGAUAACACUGACGCUCAUGCACGAAAGCGUGGGGAGCAAACAGGAUUAGAUACCCUGGUAGUCCACGCCCUAAACGAUGUCUACUAGUUGUCAGGACUUAAUUGUCUUGGUAACGCAGCUAACGCGUGAAGUAGACCGCCUGGGGAGUACGGUCGCAAGAUUAAAACUCAAAGGAAUUGACGG